GUGCCCCGCGCGGGCCUCUCCGACUUCCGGGUUCUGAUUUAAAUCCCCCCUCGGAGGCUGCGGUCUGAGCUUAGUCCAAGUGGUUUAUUAAUGGAAAAUCAGAAGAAGACUGUCUUCAAAAUGGCCACUAGACUGAAGAAUCUGGGCUGGGAGCAUCUGUACCUCCCUGUUUGAAAACCUUGCCUGUUCUCUGUUGCUCCUGCAGAGUACCUGGAAACAUUGUGUGAAUACCUGAUGUUUCUUUGGCUGUGAUGCUUUAGAGAAGUCAUUCUUCGUGCUGGAUGAGAGGGACACUGCAUUCAGCCCCCAGAUGACAGAGCAUGGACAGGCAGCAACCUUGCAGCUGUGCCUGUGGCUGGUGAGACAACCCCUACAUCUCCUUGUUUCCUUUUUGCCUUUCCACCACUCUGGCUUCCUGGAUCCACUUGCUUUGCCAGCUACAGACUGCCCAGUCAG